rnacentral:rRNA from 1 species
UCCCAAUUUUGGCCCAGAUCGUUUACCGUGAAAAAAUUAGAGUGUUCAAAGCGGGCAGAUAUUUUUCCUGCCACCGAAUACAUUAGCAUGGGAUAAUGGAAUAGGACCCUGACCUCCUAUUUUCAGUUGGUUUUGUUUACAGCGAGGUUAUAUCAGGGUAAUGAUUAAUAGGGAUAGUUGGGGGCAUUAAUAUUUAAUUGUCAGAGGUGAAAUUCUUGGAUUUAUGAAAGAUUAACUUCUGCGAAAGCGUUUGCCAAGGAUGUUUUCAUUAAUCAAGAACGAAAGUUAGGGGAUCGAAGACGAUCAGAUACCGUCGUAGUCUUAACCAUAAACGAUGCCGACCAGCGAUUAGGAGACGUUGAAUACAAAACACCGCUGUAAUCCUUUCGGGUAAAGUGAA